GCUCAUGUAGUUUAAUAAAAAUGUUGGUUUGUGGGGCCAAAGAUGUAAAGGUUUAUCUUGAGCA
rnacentral:tRNA from 1 species